AAACGCAAAGGUAUCGCGGCACACGCAACAGCAAGCAGCAGUUACCUCUGUAACCGCUCGGAGUUUCCCCGCGAAUGCAAGAGGAACCCGACGUCUCGAGCAGAAUGAAUGGUUAUCAAGGCGCCAGAAACAGCGCUAGAGCGAAGGAAGCUGUUAAAAGAUGCAGUGUUGGGACUCUUUUAACCUAGCCUGGUUCUUCUGGUGACUUGGCAGAGCUCAACCACGGAAGUCAGACCACUAUGGGCCGAAGAUGACUGAUAAAGGUUCAGACAUGAAGGAGACAACGUCUUGUCUGUGGCAUCUCACCAUUAGAAGAGCUUUCAGUGUGUCGCGAGUUUCCAAAGUUGGUUCAGCAGAUACACUGGAUGAGGUGGGAGGCCAAAUCACUCCUGGCGACUGACCCUGUCCUGCACCACUGUAAAGAAUAGAGAGGUGGGAUGCACCCGCCCGCUACUCCACGGUGACCUCUGCGCACACUGUCAAGUCGACUCACCAUCAGGCCACCGUUUGCCUCAGUGAACAUUCAACGCUGUCGGUGAGUUUGAGCUAAAUAGAAAAAAACCAUCGACCGUUGAUUGUACCCUGCGACCGAGCCCUACCGAGCCUUGCCUCUCCCCACCGCCGGCAAAGACGAAUUUUAGCAUGGACUCCUGGAGACGCGACGGUUUUGUCUUCCAACACUACUGGCAGCCUCGUACGAUGCCUGAAAAGUUUGACCUUGAAAACUACAACAAAGGUCACAAUCAACAUUCAUUGCUGUCGGUGGGUUGGACUGUUAAAGAAAGCUCACUGAACAAUGAAUGCAACUGUGUCCCAGAUUUCCUUCUCGCAGUGGCAUCGGAUAUAAAUAUUAACUGACAGAGCUGGAUAUACUCAUUUGCUCAUCUGAGUUUGUUUGUGGCUCUUCGUGGCAAAGACACCACGGGACUGCGAACACCAUGUCAAAGGCCCCUUUAAGGCCAAUGAAUGUUUCCUUUGUAUAAUAAAUAAAGACAAGACCUUUCCAAACCCUGUCCAAGCCUGUGAGUCUAAAACUUAUUAACCUUAAUAAUGUGGUAUAGAUGUUGGCACAUGUGUUGUGCUGUGGUACUUAAGCGGACUAUGCAGGUUGGAUUCUGGCAUAGUCCGUGAUUCUU